UACUAAAUCUAAAACUCAAAAGGGCCACCCACUUCUGUCACUCGAGGCACCGAGAAGCCCUUGUUUGAAGUUGCCGUCCAGACGAGAGAAUCCCUAAAAAUGCCUUAUUUCCUCUGCCACUCUCAAUCCUCACAGAUAAUCGGUGACGAGCCGGCCGAUAAGCAAAAUUUCGGAGAAAUAUCGCCGAAAUUUUUCGAUAUUUCAAACACUGCAUGCUUGUUGGGUUUCAAAUCAAAUGGGUUCUUUUUCCCUAGGCACUUAAUUUUGUGGCUUUGAAUGGGUCUUUGCCUCUUGCAAUCGAUCAAAUGAAGGUGCGGAAAUGAUUCGGAGUUUGGGUGUUGGAAAUUUAAGGCUUUCCUAUAAAGUAAUGCUUCAAGACGGAGGCAAGAGGCUUGGUUGUAGAUAUAUACAUGAACAACUUAAUUUAAGUUUAUGUAUAUUGUCUUAUAGUGUGUUUUUAAUUUCGUUGUAUAUUAUAUGAGUUUCUUCUAUAUAGAGAAAUUGGGGACAACUUUAAACAAGUUAAUUGAUUUGUGCUUUAAUUAAUAAUCAAAUGUAUAUUAAAUAUGUUUUUAUUAUAUAUAAAAUCAUGAUAAUUUGAUUGUCA